rnacentral:sRNA from 1 species
GCCAGGUGUGGUGGCGGGCACCUGUAGUCCCAGCUACUUGGGAGGCUGAGGCAGGAGAAUCCCUUGAACCUGGGAGGUGGAGGUUGCAGUGAGCCAAGAUCACACCAUUGCACUCCAGCCUGGGCGACAGAGAGAGACUCCAUCUCAAAAAAAAAAAAAAAAAAAAAAAAGACUAAAUCUCACUCUGUUGCUCAGGCUGGAGUGCAGCGGUGUGAUCUCAGCUCACUGCAACCUCCACCUCCUGGGUUCAAGCAAUUCUCUUGCCUCAA